rnacentral:rRNA from 1 species
UACUUAGGGGGCAAGCGUUGUCCGGAAUUAUUGGGCGUAAAGAGCGUGUAGGCGGUCCGGUAAGUCGGUUGUGAAAGUCCAGGGCUCAACCCUGGGAUGCCGAUCGAUACUGCCGGACUAGAGUCCGGAAGAGGCGAGUGGAAUUCCCGGUGUAGCGGUGAAAUGCGCAGAUAUCGGGAGGAACACCAAUGGCGAAGGCAGCUCGCUGGGACGGUACUGACGCUGAGACGCGAAAGCGUGGGGAGCAAACAGG